CACGUAGGGGGCAAGCGUUGUCCGGAUUCAUUGGGCGUAAAGAGCUCGUAGGCGGUUCGAUAAGUCGGGUGUGAAACCUCCAGGCUCAACCUGGAGACGCCACCCGAUACUGUCGUGACUAGAGUCCAGUAGGGGAGCGUGGAAUUCCUGGUGUAGCGGUGAAAUGCGCAGAUAUCAGGAGGAACACCAAUGGCGAAGGCAGCUCGCUGGGACGUGACUGACGCUGAGACGCGAAAGCGUGGGGAGCAAACAGG
rnacentral:rRNA from 1 species